UACAGAGGUGGCAAGCGUUGUUCGGAAUUACUGGGCGUAAAGCGUGCGCAGGCGGCUUUGCAAGACAGAUGUGAAAUCCCCGGGCUUAACCUGGGAACUGCAUUUGUGACUGCAUGGCUGGAGUGCGGCAGAGGGGGAUGGAAUUCCGCGUGUAGCAGUGAAAUGCGUAGAUAUGCGGGGGAACACCGAUGGCGAAGGCAAUCCCCUGGGCCUGCACUGACGCUCAUGCACGAAAGCGUGGGGAGCAAACAGG
rnacentral:rRNA from 1 species